GCCAGGCGUGGUGGUGCGCACCUGUAAUCCCAGCUACUCAGGAGGCUGAGGCAGGAGAAUCACUUGAACCCGGGAGGCAGAGGUUGCAGUGAGCCGAGGUAGUCCCACUGCACUCCCGCCUGGGUGACAGAGUGAGACUCCGUCUCAA
rnacentral:SRP_RNA from 1 species